rnacentral:rRNA from 1 species
ACGGGGCGCAGCAGGCGCGAAAACUUUACAAUGCGGGAAACCGUGAUAAGGGAACACCGAGUGCCAGCAUCAUAUGCUGGCUGUCCAGAUGUGUAAACUACAUCUGUUAGCAAGGGCCGGGCAAGACCGGUGCCAGCCGCCGCGGUAACACCGGCGGCCCGAGUGGUGACCGUUAUUAUUGGGUCUAAAGGGUCCGUAGCCGGUUUGGUCAGUCCUCCGGGAAAUCUGAUAGCUUAACUGUUAGGCUUUCGGGGGAUACUGCCAGGCUUGGAACCGGGAGAGGUAAGAGGUACUACAGGGGUAGGAGUGAAAUCUUGUAAUCCCUGUGAGACCACCUGUGGCGAAGGCGUCUUACCAGAACGGGUUCGACGGUGAGGGACGAAAGCUGGGGGCACGAACCGGAUUAGAUACCCGGGUAGUCCCAGCCGUAAACUAUGCUCGCUAGGUGUCAGGCAUGGCGCGACCGUGUCUGGUGCCGCAGGGAAGCCGUGAAGCGAGCCACCUGGGAAGUACGGCCGCAAGGCUGAAACUUAAAGGAAUUGGCGGGGGAGCACAACAACGGGUGGAGCCUGCGGUUUAAUUGGACUCAACGCCGGACAACUCACCGGGAACGACA